CCUAUAGAGUUUGACAGUACUUUCUAUUUGUUUUUUGUUUGUGGUAUUUUUAUGGAAUUGAGAGAGUUGUUUUGUUGGGGUGAUGGGAGGAAGGCAGAUUAACUCCUCUUUGUUUAUAUAUAUUUAUUUAUAUUUUUUUGAUCCAUUUAUUUUGAUUAUAAGAUUAAAUUACCUUAGGGAUAACAGCGUUAUCCUCCUUGAGAGUUCUUAUUGACGGGAGGGAUUGCGACCUCGAUGUUGGAUUAAGGUGAAUUUUCGGUGUAGGAGCUGAAAAGAUUAGGUCUGUUCGACCUUUAAAAUCUUACAUGAUCUGAGUUCAGACCGGCGUGAGCCAGGUUGGUUUCUAUCUAUAGAUAGUUUUUAUACCUUAGUACGAGAGGACCGGGUAU
rnacentral:rRNA from 1 species